UCUAAUGUUUUGUUAGGCCUGGCUAAUGAAGAGUGUUACUCUACGCAGUAAAAUGUCAAUGCUCAAUAAGUUCCUGGGAACUGCUGGAUCCUCGGCUGAAUUACCAAGAGAUGCCGUUCAGGAGGCAGCAAGGAUAACAAGAAAACUGGGGGAUGUGGAAACAAGUGAUAAACUGAAAACACUCCUGUAAUAAAUGUACCAAUGUUAAACUAUGUGAGGCACCGAUUUUUUUUUGUUAAAAGUUUUAUCGUUCAAGGUUUUUUAUUCAUAGCUUAAAACAACUACUCGUAAAAAAAUAUAUUUUAAACUUUGUUAUGUUUAUAACUAGAAGACCGAAUACAAAGAAUAUUUAAAGACGAAUGCCCAUGUCACCACUUAAAUUAUCAUGUCACACGAACCAGUGUUAGCUAGCAGUAGACACGGUUUACGCUGUUAAAAGGACUUAAGAUGUGUCGCUUUCUCUUUAUAUUUUUCAAUUUCAUAUAUUUUGCAAUGAUGAUCUUAUAUUUCUGAUCAGUUUCAAGCACAAAUAUUGAAAAGUUUACAAACUAGUUAUUAACAUUUUAUGUAUUUUUCUAAUUAAUAUUUCAAAUUAAAAAAUGAUUUAAUUUGCGAAGGUUUGAAUAAAUGACAUACCUUCCCCCACACAAACAAAUAUACAUUCGAACUUUUUUGAUGAAAUAAAUAUUUCUAUAAUAUUUCCUACUGACGAUUUAGAUCAGGGGUUAGUAGUAAGCAAUGGAAUUACGCAUACUUUGCAAUAAUGCAAAUUCUGUUCAUAAUUUUGAACAUUUUGUUCAUAAUGUUGAACAUUUUGUUCAUAAUUUAGAACAUUCUGUUAAUAAUUUCAAACAUUCUGUUAAUAAUUUCAAACAUUCUGUUCAUAAUUUCAAACAUUCUGUUCAUUAUUUCAAACAUUCUAUUCGUUAUUUCGAACAUUCUGUUCACAAUUUCGAACAUUUUGUUCAAAGUUUCGAAUAUUCUGUUCAUAAUUUCGGAUAAUCUGUUCAGAUUUCUUUAAAUACUUAAUAUUUUUCAUUAAUCUGGUUCCUGUUUGUGUUUUUACUGGUUUUGUUUCCGUUGUACCAUUUGGAAACAUGUUUUAUGUGACCAACUGUAUCAAAUUCGAAUAUUGAAAUAAAUCAGAAUUGGUUUUAAAAGUUUUAUUUAUUAAUGUAGGAUUUAUCUGUAAGAUAAAAUCAACUUUUUACUCGCAAUAUUGAACAUAUCGAAAGCAUUUCUAAAACGAAUAAUUAGUUCGAAAUAACCAACAGAAUUUGUAUACCCUAACAUUGCAAUUUUGAACAUCAUGUUCGCAAAUUCGAAAUACUUACUGUUUGAUAACAGCAUAUACUGCAGUAUUUUUUAAUUAUUUUAUCAACAUUGUUUGGGAUUAAUGAGAUAUUAAGACGUAUUUCAUGUUUUUCAGAUUAAAAGAAUGGAAGAACUAAAACAGUAUUUAUCAUCCAAAGGCCUGGAACCUGCAGAUAUCCCUAAGGGUAUAUUAGUUCAUGAGGUGGUGGGACUAGGAGUGCUAUUGGGUGCCUGGGCAGGGUGCUAUCUAAUCCGACCUACAGGUUCAAAUCACUUUUUCUAAUCAGGGUAGGUAAAAGGAUUGCUUUCAAAUUGUUUUGUUUUAGUUUUUAUAUUUUAGAUUUGAAUAUAGCUAUUCAAAUGUUUUGAAGAUUGUGUACAAUGUGGACUGUACACUGUACACUGUAAACUGUACAAUGUGCACUGUACACUUUACACUGUACACUGUACGCUGUACACCGCACACUGCACAGUACACAUCAAAAUUGGAUCUAGAUCGAAAUUUUUUUGAUUUUCAAACUUAAUUGUUGAUUUCUGAACAGUA